ACCUGGCUGGCUCAGUUCGUAGAGCAUGUGACUCUUAAUUUCAGAGUUAUGAGUUCAAGCCUCAUGUUGGGCG
rnacentral:tRNA from 1 species